rnacentral:rRNA from 3 species
UACGAGAGGUCCAAACGUUAUUCGGAAUCACUGGGCUUACAGAGUUCGUAGGCGGUACGGAAAGUGGGGUGUGAAAGCCCUCGGCUCAACCGAGGAACUGCGCUCCAAACUACCGUGCUAGAGGAAGAUAGAGGUGAGCAGAACUGAUGGUGGAGCGGUGAAAUGCGUUGAUAUCAUCAGGAAUACCGGAGGCGAAGGCGGCUCACUGGGUCUUUUCUGACGCUGAGGAACGAAAGCUAGGGGAGCAAACGGG